GCGCGGAAGGUGUGUGCACGCUUGUUCGCUGUUCGCGCGAGACCGCCAGCAAUCGAGGGAACAACGAUAUACGCACAGGGCGCCCCCUGUGCGCGUUUCUUGUUGUUGUGUGCGUUUGUAGUUUGGGAGUUUGGGGAAUUUGCAGUGGUAGCAUCAGAGCAGCAGCAUCCAUGCCCGUCUAGCGGUGCCGGUUAGAUAUUUGUGUGCCAAAACCUGAAAUCUAGUACCAAAAGAAAAAGAGAGAAA